CACAGCCCUGGCGCCUGUUCUGGAGAGGAAGUGCUCUGAGCAGAGGGAGGCCAGAGGACCUGCCUCCUCCUCCUCGUUCCUGGAGAUGAGAAAGGAGGAUUCAGGUGUUGACUGCUUUGCUCUAUUCUCCACUAACAAAGACAAGACCACGUGACUGCAUCUCCAGUCCAGUUCCGGGCUUCUGGUUCAUUAACGCCACGACACUAGGAAAUACAACCUGAAAAAGGUGCCCUACAGGAGUGGUGUCAGGACAAGAGAACGUAUGGCAUGGCCUUUCCGGGUCACAGGAACCCCCACCCUCUAUCCACAGGCAGGAUUGGUAUUGGACAAGCCAGGACGUCUCUGGACUUGGAGACGAGAAGACCCAGCGACACGGGGCACUGCAGAGGGAAGCCACCCGGGCUGAGGCCCAGAACCCUCAAGCCUGGAGGCAGCAGGUGCCAGACAGGGCUUCUGCUCGGCCCCAAGCCUCGGAGCACCUUCAUGCAGCACAGGCUGCACCGGGUUUCAAGGCUGCGUCUCUGCUCCUCUUCCCGUGAGAACAAGCUUCUAGAGGAUACAGGUUUUACCCUGUUUUUCGAUCCUCCGAGCUCCGCACAGGGCCCUCCAGAGUAGCUGUCCCACCCUAACCACCCCCGCUAAAAUAUGAACGUCGAUAAACGAACACGUGAACAAUGAUCGGAAGUCUUCACACCUGGUGCUGAAGCGACGGAGAAGCACUGGGGCCGUUUACCUUGGAGAAGCACAACCCAGGGAAGGAAUGCAAAUUUCACCUUCGUACACUUGAGCCUUGCCUGGUUAAAGCUCCCAAGGGCCGGAGACACGACCAGGGCCGGCAGGGCACGGAGGGACACCAGAAAAAUGCAGAAACAGGCAGCACGCCCCCCCGGGCCCCUGCUGUAGGCAUGAGGGCCCCGGCCCUGGAGGCGUCCCAGGAGAAGCUGGAGGAGUUUCUAACGAGCGAGUGAAGACUUCCCUUCUGCUUGACGGAUGAGUUCUGGCUUAAAAUAACCCUCCGAGGUGGGUUAAGUGGGUGGGAUGUAGAUGGAGCAGGAAGUUACAAGAGGCACAGGCUGUGGGAAGAGCUGUGGUAUGAUCAGUUGUCUCUCUUCUCGGUGACACCCUGCUCCCUAUUUACCACCCCAGCUAAAAGCCACAGGGAUCCAGGGAGCUGGGAGCAAAUGUGAGAGCCUCAGAGUGUGUAACCAAUCCGCCCAGCACACAACCAACCAACAAAAUUUAUCAAGGCACCAGAAGUCUUCCCGGCCAUGGCCCUUAGAUCUGGAUGGUCCCCGCCCGACCCGGACCGCUUUCUCGGAGGGGGGCUCCUGCUUAGCAGUUCUCACCUUCGGCUUGGCACAGGGUCAGAGCCAACUGGAGCACGGGCCCCUGUUAACACCCAAGUCAAUCUCUGGCUGACCUCCUGACUGGACCCUUUUAACCAAGUGAAAUCCAAACACUGCACUGACCGUGCGACAGCUGGCGGUGUGGGACAGACAAAAGAACUACACCACACGCUUCAACACACACCUCGCACUUGCUGGCAAGCGUUAGGCGACACAGGACCUGCCUGGUCCAAGCUGAACGGCCCAGCGUGGGCACUGGCCGUACAGGC
rnacentral:lncRNA from 1 species